rnacentral:rRNA from 1 species
GAGUAACGCGUAGGAAUCUGCCUGGUAGUGGGGGACAACGUGGGGAAACUCACGCUAAUACCGCAUACGCCCUACGGGGGAAAGCGGGGGCUCUUCGGACCUCGCGCUAUCAGAUGAGCCUGCGUUAGAUUAGCUAGUUGGUAGGGUAAAGGCCUACCAAGGCGACGAUCUAUAGCUGGUCUGAGAGGACGAUCAGCCACACUGGGACUGAGACACGGCCCAGACUCCUACGGGAGGCAGCAGUGGGGAAUAUUGGACAAUGGGCGCAAGCCUGAUCCAGCAAUACCGCGUGUGUGAAGAAGGCCUUAGGGUUGUAAAGCACUUUCAAUGGGGAGGAAAACCUGCCGGUCAAUACCCGGUAGCUUGACAUUACCUUUAGAAGAAGCACCGGCUAACUCCGUGCCAGCAGCCGCGGUAAUACGGAGGGUGCGAGCGUUAAUCGGAAUUACUGGGCGUAAAGCGUGCGUAGGCGGUUCGUUAAGUCAGAUGUGAAAGCCCCGGGCUUAACCUGGGAACUGCAUUUGAAACUGGCGGACUAGAGUUGAGUAGAGGGGAGUGGAAUUUCAGGUGUAGCGGUGAAAUGCGUAGAUAUCUGAAGGAACACCAGUGGCGAAGGCGACUCCCUGGACUCAAACUGACGCUGAGGUACGAAAGCGUGGGUAGCAAACAGGAUUAGAUACCCUGGUAGUCC